UAAGACAGAGGGGGCAAGCGUUGCUCGGAAUCACUGGGCGUAAAGGGCGCGUAGGCGGGAUGGCAAGUCGGUCGUGAAAUCCUUCGGCUCAACCGAAGAACGUCGGCCGAUACUGCCGUUCUUGAGGGAUGCAGAGGAGACUGGAAUUCCCGGUGUAGCGGUGAAAUGUGUAGAGAUCGGGAGGAACACCGGUGGCGAAGGCGGGUCUCUGGGCAUCUCCUGACGCUGAGGCGCGAAAGCGUGGGGAGCAAACGGGAUUAGAUACCCCGGUAGUCCACGCUGUAAACGAUGACGACUAGGUGUGGGGUGGUUCAGUCCAUUCCGUGCCGCAGCUAACGCAUUAAGUCGUCCGCCUGGGGAGUACGGCCGCAAGGUUGAAACUUAAAGGAAUUGACGG
rnacentral:rRNA from 1 species